rnacentral:rRNA from 1 species
AAACUUCGCAAUGUGCGCAAGCACGACGAGGGAAUCCUAAGUGCCUAUGCUUUGCAUAGGCUGUUCUCCUGUCUAAAAACAGGGGGAGUAAGGGCUGGGUAAGACGGGUGCCAGCCGCCGCGGUAACACCGGCGGCCCGAGUGGUAACCGUCUUUAUUGGGUUUAAAGGGUCCGACGGUGAGGGACGAAAGCUGGGGGCACGAACCGGAUUAGAUACCCGGGUAUGUACUGAGC